CCAAGUCUUAAAAAACUCAUUCCUUUCACCUCUCUCUCUCUCUCUGUUUCUUUUUUCAUAAGCAUCAAUGGCGGAUCAUAGAAAGAUUCUAGUUCACAGUGGGUUUGACAAGGAGAAAGGUGCAAAGAGGAAUGGAAUUGCAUCAAGGCAAUUGAUUGCUGAAGAUAAGAGAGGAGACAUCAACUUACUAGCAGAUGUUUUCAUCAAGAACUUCCAUAAUCAGCUGAAGAUUCAGCGCGAGGAGUCAAUUAAGCGCUACAAGGAGAUGAUUGCACGAGGAGCUUGAAAUACUACCAUCACAAAUUAUUACAGAUAUUAUUGCAAAUUGCAGUGUGUUGUAUAUAAAUGAUGAUCAGAUAUUGCUUUUUUGAAAGCGAUAUUCUAACUGCAAUCUUCAGUCAUUUUCUGCAAUUAUAAACCAUGUUUUGUUAA
rnacentral:lncRNA from 1 species